UGCCUAACACAUGCAAGUCGAGCGAUUUACUUCGGUAAAGAGCGGCGGACGGGUGAGUAACGCGUGGGUAACCUGCCCUGUACACAUGGAUAACAUACCGAAAGGUAUGCUAAUACGAGAUAAUAUGCUUUUAUCGCAUGGUAGAAGUAUCAAAGCUCCGGCGGUACAGGAUGGACCCGCGUCUGAUUAGCUAGUUGGUAAGGUAACGGCUUACCAAGGCGACGAUCAGUAGCCGACCUGAGAGGGUGAUCGGCCACAUUGGAACUGAGACACGGUCCAAACUCCUACGGGAGGCAGCAGUGGGGAAUAUUGCACAAUGGGCGAAAGCCUGAUGCAGCAACGCCGCGUGAGCGAUGAAGGCCUUCGGGUCGUAAAGCUCUGUCCUCAAGGAAGAUAAUGACGGUACUUGAGGAGGAAGCCCCGGCUAACUACGUGCCAGCAGCCGCGGUAAUACGUAGGGGGCUAGCGUUAUCCGGAAUUACUGGGCGUAAAGGGUGCGUAGGUGGUUUCUUAAGUCAGAGGUGAAAGGCUACGGCUCAACCGUAGUAAGCCUUUGAAACUGGGAAACUUGAGUGCAGGAGAGGAGAGUGGAAUUCCUAGUGUAGCGGUGAAAUGCGUAGAUAUUAGGAGGAACACCAGUUGCGAAGGCGGCUCUCUGGACUGUAACUGACACUGAGGCACGAAAGCGUGGGGAGCAAACAGGAUUAGAUAUCCUGGUAGUCCACGCCGUAAACGAUGAGUACUAGCUGUCGGAGGUUACCCCCUUCGGUGG
rnacentral:rRNA from 1 species